rnacentral:rRNA from 1 species
UGGGGAAUCUUGCGCAAUGGGCGGAAGCCUGACGCAGCCAUGCCGCGUGUGUGAAGAAGGCCUUCGGGUUGUAAAGCACUUUCACUUGGGAGGAAAAGGUUGCGGUUAAUAGCCGUAGCUCUUGACGUUACCUUGAGAAGAAGCACCGGCUAACUCCGUGCCAGCAGCCGCGGUAAUACGGAGGGUGCGAGCGUUAAUCGGAAUUACUGGGCGUAAAGCGCGCGUAGGCGGUUUGUUAAGUCGGAUGUGAAAGCCCCGGGCUCAACCUGGGAAUUGCACCCGAUACUGGCCGACUGGAGUGCGAGAGAGGGAGGUAGAAUUCCACGUGUAGCGGUGAAAUGCGUAGAUAUGUGGAGGAAUACCGGUGGCGAAGGCGGCCUCCUGGCUCGACACUGACGCUGAGGUGCGAAAGCGUGGGUAGCAAACA